GAUGAAGAACGUAGCGAAAUGCGAUAAGUAAUGUGAAUUGCAGAAUUCAGUGAAUCAUCGAGUUUUUGAACGCAUAUUGCGCCCUCUGGUAUUCCGGGGGGCAUGCCUGUUCGAGCGUCAUUUGUACCUUCAAGCUUUGCUUGGUGUUGGGUGUUUGUCUCGCCUUUGCGUGUAGACUCGCCUUAAAAUAAUUGGCAGCCGGCGUAUUGAUUUCGGAGCGCAGUACAUCUCGCGCUUUGCACUCAUAACGACAGCGUCCAAAAGUACAUUUUACACUCUUGACCUCGGAUCAGGUAGGGAUACCCGCUGAACUUAAGCAUAUCAAUAAGCGGAGGA
rnacentral:misc_RNA from 1 species